GGGAACCCCGUUCUCCGAACCUACGACAUUGCCGCUGUCCGGCUCCUCAGCCAGGAGACCUUCGACGAGGCCUGCAAGUUCUCUGAGGUCACUAGUAGCUACUGCCUUAAGAAAGAAGCAUUGUUAUAAGGAAGCUAUCAGAAUUGAAAGAAUCUUGCCUAAUGAACAGUUGGACUCUAAAAGGGUUUGGUUUGGUGACUGUAACAAUGGGGAUCCUAUCUCUACCGGGCAACGUGAUUCACCAUUGUUGGACACAAAGUUUUUCUCUUCUGCCAGCAAACUGUCUAAAUUUCAAAUGCAAUUGAUUUCUCAUCAAUAGCUGAUGGAACACCCUUCUGAUUCAGUAAACAUGAAACACAGAUCUCCUCUCCUAAGAAAUUGGAGUCAUCUGCUUCUGCAAAUGACACCCCUCUUGCUGCAACUGAUGAUGUUGCACUGCAAGAGACAUCUAAUGAAUUUCUAGAUGAGAAUAGGGUGCCAAUGGCUACAACACCAUUAGAGCGGCAAAAGUCUGUCAUAAAUGUUUUGGUUUCAUUGGUUGACUUGGAAACAUCAUUGGCUGAUGCUGAAGAGCCUAGCCCAGAUGUUGUGGUCAAUGAGGACCUGAAAAGUUCCAGUGUACGUGGGAUUUCUGGUAUAGUUGAUGUGCUUUUAUAUAAUGCAGUAUUGGAGGAUUGCAAGCUUACUGGCGAAGAAAAUCUCUUAUCAUCUAAAGCUAAUCAGGCAUGGUCGAAUGCUUUUGAGGACAGCGAGUCAUCCGAUAGAUGUUUGAAGGAUCAUGCAAGUCCAGAGCUGUCUGACAAUGUUCCAGUUGCAAUUGAGACUCCUACAGAUGUCUCAGAAGAAAUGUAUGGCAUCAGUGUUGCAAGCAAUCGGAUUUCAUCAGAAGAUAAUGAGUCAUUUUUCACCAGUUCCAUCGACAAGGAUAUGCGAAUCAAAUGACAGAGAAAUGCUGCAAGAAAUAAAGUAUGAAUAUUUGAAUGCCUAUGGCACAUCUUUGUGGAGGGGUACUGCAAAGCCCCCAGCAAGUGAUCAAAGGAGAAGUUGUUUUGAUUGAAAGUGAUGAAGUAUCGAGGGAGUUGACUUCUAACAAAAGUGAAAAAAUAGAAAAUGGUUCAGCAGCUGCAAGACUAAAUCAGUGAAACGAGGAAGCAAGCAAAGGUUGGUCUAUCCAGCUCUCCCAUUGCCUUGCAAGGGUUUGAUUAAGCCAAUUCUUUUCAAGAAGAAAAAAUGGCAAUUCCAAAGACUAAGAAAACAUUUGUAAGGAUGUCUAGUGAUUUUUAACUUUUAACGAACAUUUUUAUUAAUACUAUUACUUCUUCCCAUUCUGCAAUGUGCUUUA